rnacentral:rRNA from 1 species
CACGAACGCUGGCGGCAGGCUUAACACAUGCAAGUCGAGCGCCCCGCAAGGGGAGCGGCAGACGGGUGAGUAACGCGUGGGAAUCUACCCAUCUCUACGGAAUAACGCAUGGAAACGUGUGCUAAUACCGUAUACGUCUUUCGGGCGAAAGAGUUAUCGGAGAUGGAUGAGCCCGCGUUGGAUUAGCUAGUUGGUGGGGUAAAGGCCUACCAAGGCGACGAUCCAUAGCUGGUCUGAGAGGAUGAUCAGCCACACUGGGACUGAGACACGGCCCAGACUCCUACGGGAGGCAGCAGUGGGAAAUAUUGGACAAUGGGCGCAAGCCUGAUCCAGCCAUGCCGCGUGAGUGAUGAAGGCCCUAGGGUUGUAAAGCUCUUUCACCGGUGAAGAUAAUGACGGUAACCGGAGAAGAAGCCCCGGCUAACUUCGUGCCAGCCGCCGCAGUAAUAC